rnacentral:rRNA from 1 species
GAUGAACGCUGGCGGCGUGCCUAAUACAUGCAAGUCGAGCGAACGGACGAGAAGCUUGCUUCUCUGAUGUUAGCGGCGGACGGGUGAGUAACACGUGGAUAACCUACCUAUAAGACUGGGAUCACUUCGGGAAACCGGAGCUAAUACCGGAUGAUAUUUUGAACCGCAUGGUUCAAAAGUGAAAGACGGUCUUGCUGUCACUUAUAGAUGGAUCCGCGCUGCAUUAGCUAGUUGGUAAGGUAACGGCUUACCAAGGCAACGAUGCAUAGCCGACCUGAGAGGGUGAUCGGCCACACUGGAACGGGGACACGGUCCAGACUCCUACGGGAGGCAGCAGUAGGGAAUCUUCCGCAAUGGGCGGAAGCCUGACGGAGCAACGCCGCGUGAGUGAUGAAGGUCUUCGGAUCGUAAAACUCUGUUAUUAGGGAAGAACAUAUGUGUAAGUAAAUGUGCACAUCUUGACGGUACCUAAUCAGAAAGCCACGGCUAACUACGUG